rnacentral:rRNA from 1 species
UGGGGAAUAUUGGACAAUGGGCGCAAGCCUGAUCCAGCCAUGCCGCGUGAGUGAUGAAGGCCCUAGGGUUGUAAAGCUCUUUCACCGGUGAAGAUAAUGACGGUAACCGGAGAAGAAGCCCCGGCUAAAUACGUGCCAGCAGCCGCGGUAAUACGUAUGUUGCGAGCGUUAUCCGGAAUUAUUGGGCUUAAAGGGCAUCUAGGCGGUAAGACAAGUUGAAGGUGAAAACCUGUGGCUCAACCAUAGGCUUGCCUACAAAACUGUUGAACUAGAGUACUGGAAAGGUGGGUGGAACUACACGAGUAGAGGUGAAAUUCGUAGAUAUGUGUAGGAAUGCCGAUGAUGAAGAUAACUCACUGGACAGAAACUGACGCUGAAGUGCGAAAGCUAGGGGAGCAAACAGG